rnacentral:rRNA from 1 species
GAUGAACGCUAGCGGGAGGCUUAACACAUGCAAGUCGAGGGGCAGCAUAGGGUAGCAAUACUCUGAUGGCGACCGGCAAACGGGUGAGUAACGCGUAUGCAACCUACCCGUAGCAGGGGGAUAGCCCGUUGAAAGACGGAUUAAUACCCCGUAACACAGGGGCUCCGCAUGGAGAUUAUUGUUAAAGGGUCAUUUCUUUUAGAGGUGGUCCGGCUACGGAUGGGCAUGCGUUCCAUUAGGUAGUUGGUGUAGGUAACGGCUCACCAAGCCGACGAUGGAUAGGGGAACUGAGAGGUUGGUCCCCCACACUGGUACUGAGACACGGACCAGACUCCUACGGGAGGCAGCAGUGAGGAAUCUUGGUCAAUGGACGCAAGUCUGAACCAGCCAUGUCGCGUGAAGGAGGACGGCCCUAAGGGUUGUAAACUUCUUUUGCAGUGGAAUAAAGUUUGCCACGAGUUGGCGAUUUGCAAGUACGCUGCGAAUAAGGAUCGGCUAACUCCGUGCCAGCACGG